GAAAUAUGCAAGCUGGACAUUGGUAGUAUGCUGACUCCAUAGUUCAGCAAGUAAAAUUUGUUGGACUGGCUGAAAAUUUUUACACUGUUCGUUGGAUUGGUUACCAAGAUGAAUAUAAUACUUUGGAGCCAGAAUACAGUCUGAAAGAUACUGCAAUUUUGAUUUUAUUUCAAAUGCCCAAUAUUAAGUCAGCGUCUCAAGCUAGUGGACCGCUAAUUUUACGCCGAUCGGAGCGUAAAGUGAAAGAUAUCGUCACGAGUUACAUGACAAAAACGGUUUCACUCAAUGAGUCUUUCGCUCGAGCAAUGGCUAUUUUAGACGAUUAUUUGCGCGUGGAAGAAGGUGCUGGACGAUAUUUACCAAAUAUUGGAUUUUAUUCAUGUGACGACGUUAGAACUGCUGUGAAACAUCAAGAGAAUUUUGUUAAGAACAUCUUUCAGCCUCUAAUCAAUCAGUUGAAUUCACAACAGCAUCACGUUUAUGAAAAAUACAUCGGAAGCUUUUACGGUAACUUAACCGAAAAACGGUUAUUGGAAUCAGUGAAAGGUUUAGCCACCAACGAACCAAACACUGUCCGAAAAUUGAUUUAUAAAGGACUGAGCGCAUCGUCAUCUGUCGAAAAGUUUGCUUCAUUUUUUGUUGAUACCACGCGGAAUAUUAAUCAAAGAGCAACUGACAACAACUUGGAGAUGCAUAUGUGUGUAUACACAGUGCGAUCACAGUUCGAUGGUAAGGUCAAGGAUUCCAUUUACUUUGAUCCUACUGCUCCAUGCCACGAACGCGAGG